UUGGAUGAUUUGAUGACUGGAUGAUUGAAUGACUGGUUUGACUAAUUAGACUUUUGAUGGAAAACGCCCUUCACAAGACCAGAAGGCCAUUCAAGGUGCGGGCGUUGAAGGAAAGUAUAGAAAAAAGUUACAGAAGGAAAUAUCUAAUCAGAUUACUUUGAAAACAGGUAUAGUUUAUAUGUUGGUAAACAACAGGAUUCGAGUAAAGGAGUUCCUGUCGUUCGUAAUUAU